rnacentral:rRNA from 1 species
GUGGACACAGGUGCUGCAUGGCUGUCGUCAGCUCCUGUCGUGAGAUGUUGGGUUAAGUCCCGCAACGAGCGCAACCCUUGUCUCUAGUUGCUACGAAAGGGCACUCUAGAGAGACUGCCGGUGACAAACCGGAGGAAGGUGGGGAUGACGUCAAGUCCUCAUGGCCCUUAUGGGUAGGGCUUCACACGUCAUACAAUGGUGCAUACAGAGGGUUGCCAAGCCGCGAGGUGGAGCUAAUCCCAGAAAAUGCAUCGUAGUCCGGAUCGUAGUCUGCAACUCGACUACGUGAAGCUGGAAUCGCUAGUAAUCGCGGAUCAGCAUGCCGCGGUGAAUACGUUCCCGGG